rnacentral:rRNA from 1 species
CCUACGGGAGGCAGCAGUGGGGGAUAUUGCACAAUGGGGGGAACCCUGAUGCAGCGACGCCGCGUGGGUGAAGGAGUGCUUCGGCAUGUAAAGCCCUAUCGGCAGGGAAGAAGCAAGACGGUACCUGACUAAGAAGCCCCGGCUAACUACGUGCCAGCAGCCGCGGUAAUACGUAGGGGGCGAGCGUUAUCCGGAUUCACUGGGUGUAAAGGGCGCGUAGACGGCCAUGCAAGCCAGGGGUGAAAGCCCGGGGCCCAACCCCGGGACUGCCCUUGGAACUGUGCGGCUAGAGUGCGGGAGGGGCAGGCGGAAUUCCUGGUGUAGCGGUGAAAUGCGGAGAUAUCAGGAGGAACACCGGCGGCGAAGGCGGCCUGCUGGACCGCGACUGACGUUGAGGCUCGAAAGCGUGGGGAGCGAACAGGAUUAGAUACCCGGGUAGUC